rnacentral:lncRNA from 1 species
GCAAGUGCCGUUGACAGAAUGCAGGCGGGAAGCUUCAGUUUGGGUAGAGAUGUAGCAUCAAACAUUCACGGAUGUCCAGGGAGCACGGGCACACAGGCUGCUGGCCAGAGGUACUAGGAAGGUACAGGCGGGAGUUCGACGAGGACGCACCUUCCCCUGUCUUGGAAAGGUAGACUUGGGGAGGGCGGGAGCGGGAGGCUGCUCACAGCGCUGCUGGACUCUUUAAGCCCUGAGGUCAUGUGAAAAGAAGUUUGCCCUGUGUCCUUCUGUCUCCUGUUGGCUGUCCACAAAAUGGAGAAGGCGGAAGCAACCUGAGGCGUCCUCUUUGUCUGUAAAGAUAGAGAGUCCAUUGUGGAAGGGGGAGAUACAGGAACUAUAUAGGCGAGGCUCUACCGGACUGCAUCUCUUAUCUCCAGAAUUCUUUUACAGAAAAGAAAAAAAUAAACUUUUAUCUGGCUUAAGCCACUACUGUUUCUGGGCUCUGUUACUAGCUGCCAAAUGCAAAUCUUAACUGAUAGAAAAGUCCUUGACGGAGUUUGAGCUGGUGAAUGGAUGCUGCCUGUUCAGUGGCUCUGCAGUGGUGGAUCUGUGGGAGUGGAGCAUCCUG